GUCGGGCCAGCCGGCCUGGGAGGCACCUCGGCAGGUGCGGGCGGGGCGCUUCGGGCGGCACCUCUGGGCUUCCGAGCGGCGCGCGCUCCCAGAGCGACCCCUGUCGCCCGAGCGCUGCCACUACAGCUCCUUCCCUCGAGCAGACCGGUUGAGGCGUCCCUUCCUCCCGUUCUUCCCGGAGCCCCCAGAGCCCGAGGACCUGCCGCUGCUCGGGCCGGAGCAGCUGGCCCGGCGGGAGGCCCUCCUGUGCGCGGCCUGCGCCCGGGGGUCGCGCCCACGCCACGCUUCUCUUCCCAGCUCGGUGGCCGCGGUCUUUGUUCGGCCCAGCUCGGGGCCCGCCGGGUGUGCCCGACCCACCUGCGGGCGGUUGGCGCAGGCGCAGUGGAUGAGGCUGCCGUCCUACCGGGAGGCCUGCCAGGAGGGGGUGUGGGCAGGGGGCCCCGCCUGGCCGCACAGACAGCACACCUGCCUCCAUGCCCAUGCCCACCUGCCGCUUUGCUGGAGGUCUGUCUGCCCUCACCUCCCACCCUGUGCCAAACACGGCCCCUGGCUCUCUGGGGCUUGCGGAUCUCUGGGGCACAGGGGCAGGACCCUGGGGCUGAGCACACGCUACAGGGACAGUGGGGGGCUGGAAGAGGACAGCAGGGUGGCUUGUGGGAUGCACGGCUUCCCCCGACCUUGUACCUGGAGGAGGAUCUCCAGCUUGGAGUCAGAAGUGUGAGGUGUCAGCUACUCUGGUUCCUGGUCAGCUGGAUUCUCUGCCUGGCACUGCCAGCAUUAGGGGGCAGAUGGGCUUGGGCUUUUCUGGCUUCUGCAGUGAAAUCCUGGCAACCCAGGGACAGAUGAUGUCUUCCACGGUCAGUUCAGCGACCUCAGCAGCCUCAGGUCCUGGUGUGGGCUGGACUUUUGCUGUCUUCUUAUGCAAGGCCCUUCCCACCUGGCCUAAAGUCACAGGGAGCAGUGGGGUCUCCCAGCUCUGCUGUGAGCGGGUCCCUGGUCAUGGCUCCUGGGGGCUUGGGCAUGGGAGCAUGGAGGCUGGAACUUGGGGUUGGAGCAGGGCGCUCCUACUCCUUGUUCCACCUGGCUGGAGUUUCUUCUCAGAGUGUUGGGACAUUAAACAAACCUUUUAC
rnacentral:lncRNA from 1 species